ACCACGUGGUGACCUUGAAGCGACAAAAGUCACUAAAAAAAUAAAAAUUUUUUUUUUUUUUUUUUUCGAACUUUGGUUUAUCAUUUACUCUAUUUAUAACCACCUGGGCGAGUGUAUCUACAGUUUUUUUUUUCAUUUCGUUUGCCUAUUAAUGAGAUGGUUAUCUUUAACGCGGCAGAUUUUCGCAUCCUCCAUACGGUUCGGAUGGAAACUGGCGCCAGAAUGGAAUUUUCUCUCACUGUCAAGGACGCAAGCCAUUUUUGUUUUAUCUACGUUACGGAAGAGGGCCCAAAUCUCUAUUUUAUUUCUAUUCAGCUUAACGUUUCGCAAUUUUGCCUGUUGUUUCGAUUCUAGACAAUUGCCAUUGUAACCGCAGCAGGGGGAAGACAAGUCUGGAAUUAUAUCUUCACGCGAUCUAAUUUGAAUAUUAUCUUUCGAAAGGAACACGUGUUUAUAGCUCCAUUUUCGUGAGAACGAAUAAAUUUAUUUAAUACGACCGAAAAAAAAAAAAAAAAAGUAAAGAUUCUAAUCACAGUCGAGUGUAAAUCAGUUAAGUGUAACCGAUGAUGCUUCUUUGUAGAACCACGGAUCUCCAGGAAGUAUUUUGUUGACCUUUCCACAUCGUAGCAUUCUCGGGUUCGUUGAGAGUUCAAUUCGUCUCAUUGCUAUGAAACUGUUUUUAAUUGUUAUCCAUAACAGCAUCCGAUAUAUACCGUACAUCAGUUACUUAAAAAAAAAAAAAAAAUCCGUAAGAAAUCGCAAUUUUUAAAAAUCCACUAUUUUCCUUACAAAACUGCUGACUUUUUUCAAUAAAAUGAAUCAUCGUUAAUCUUGUAACUGUUCACGUGACUAACAACUGGCGUUUAUCUGUGACUAGGUCAGCUAUUAUUCUACCUCCACCUGUUUGAAAUGAAGAGUUUUAAUUACUGUAUAUACUUACAGGUGCGAGUUUAACUUUUAAAUAAACAAAUAAAAAUAAAAGAUUAUUCUUGACUUUAUGUAUUUUCAUUACUAGAAUUGUUCUCGUAUUCGUAUCAGUUAGCCUACAUAAAACAUCGGUAAUCACAUUCAGAAAACAAACAUAAUUGUCCUGCGAUAGAGAAGAAAACACUUUUUAUCUACACUUCGAGGGCAUUGACACCUUAUGUUUAUUCGUUCGCAUUUAAAGUGUUUUGUAUAGUAGCGACUUAAUAAACCUCACGAAGUUGUCGCAGUUGCAUUUUUUUCAAAGAUGGAAGCAAAAUACGAGUGGAAAUUAUCCAGGCAAAGCUAAUUCUCACGCUCUUUGAUUUUUAAUAGACAGCUUCGUGCACAUUACUAAUGAACCACGAAGACGUAUCUUUCAUCGGUUUUUCUGUCAUGGAUAACUAAUCUUCCGGCAUAGAUGAAAUGUAAACUAUCUAAUCUUGAACUUCGGUUUCGUCACGUUCUACUCCCCCGUUUUAACUCGCUGGAAAUAAGUGUUUUAGAAGGUUUAAUUGACUACAGCUCAUUGGUUGGCUCUUAAUGCUCUACGAUUUCCUGCCGUUCUAAUUAAGACAUCUUUAUAAAUAGUUAAACUGACAAAUUAUCCAAUUUCCAAUCUUCCAAGAAUCCUUUGCUAGGAAAUAAGGUUAUCAACAUCUCUUUAGUAACACACAUCACACGUUAGGAUAAAAUUUUAACGCUACGUGAAGUUUACAAAAAGCAUAAAAUUUCGCAUACAAAACGGUAAUUAAAGGCACACUUCCCGAAUACUAAUAAUACUCGUAAAUUAUUAUCGUUUGGGAUUUAUGUUAUUUGCUUCCGACAUCUUCAAUAAAACAUCUUUAUCUAAGUACUAAUAAAUUAUCCAAAAUCAACAAAAACAUCUGGAAUGUCUCCAGAUUUUGUGUUUACAAUUUUAAUAUAUAUCUUCGCCAUUGGAUAUCUAUAACUGAAACCUUGGUACUUAUCUAGCGGUUUGUUUAUUCUGAAACAUGUUCAGAAAUACCUGACCUAUAUUAUCUCCUAUUUUUUUUAAUUUUUAAAACUUUUAAAGUAAUAAAACAAUUCGCCGACUUUAUGUCCAUUGGUCUGUGGAGACCUCAACGCGGGAGGACAAUUUGGUCCAAAGAACGACAAAAACUUGUCCUUUUAAUGAGACGGUUUCCUUUUAGCAACGAUCCUUAAUGGCCGAAAAUGUAAAUUUCACGAGAAGCAGACCCAAUUUUUAUUCUAAAUUCGGUAAAAAUAAACUUAGAAUGAAAAGAACUAUGUAGGUUUGUAUGUCAUCCUCUCUCGUAUUUCUUUAUUUGUCGUACCUUAC
rnacentral:lncRNA from 1 species